GUAUGUGGGAAGCUCUGUGUUCCAGGCUGUGAGGCUGCCAGGCAACAAAGUUUCCCAAGUCUCAAGGAGCCAUGUUGUGAGUGUUUGACAGCCAGGUCUUGGAAAGGAAGGCCAACAUGCCCUGGGCUGAUCAGACUCCAUCAUGUUGACUCCUGGGAGGCACAUUUUUGAGAAACAAUUAGGAACCAGGAAGCAUUCUGAGGAGGAAAGCCAGGAUAAAGAAGACUCAGAUAAAAAAGUCAUCCCACCAGGUCUGGAUGCAGUGUGACUGUAUCAGUCAGCUUUUGCUGGGUUAUGCCAAGUAACAAACAGGAUUCAGGCUGAAAGAUCAGCUAUGAAACUGCUGGUUUUGAGGCACAGGAAAAAGAGUGAUGGCAGAACUGAGAAAUGACUUUAAAGCCUCUGCUCAGAAGUGGCUUAUAUCCCUCUGUUCACAUUUUAUUGGCCACAGAGAAUCACAUGAUCAAAUAUGUCUUCAGACUUGAUGGGCUUAGGGAGAUACCAUGCUCCCACAGGGAGGGGUGGUAACUAUUUGGCCAGCACAGAGUAGAUACCAACAGUUAUUAAACUGUUUGUUGAAUGAAUGAAUAGAUGAAUUCUCUGAUCCUGGAAGGAUUUAAAUAAAGAAUGGAUGACCAUUUGUAUUACCUA
rnacentral:lncRNA from 1 species